AGAGCGCUCACAUCUGGGUGCUUCUCCUUCGCCUGCCGAAGGCCUUGGCGCCAACGUUGGUGGGAACGAAGUUGCUGUUGCCAAUUCCGCCCGACCGGCUGAGGAAGUCGGCCAGGCGGUGGGUCACGCACGUGGCCGUGUUGCAGGCGCGCUUCUGUGUCGUAACGCUGCUUCAGGACAGCAAACGGAGAUUAGCACGAAGAAACCACGCUACGAGCUAACACCACAACACACCAGCAGUGCGACAAAUUUGAUAAAAGUGAACAAAUAAGGUAACAGCUUAUGUAUUUUCUUACCUGUUGACUUACUGAGGACUUCCCAGACAGAUUUCAAGGCAUCGUAAAAGUUCAUUUACGCUCCAAUUUGUUUAAUUUUGGUAUUAAAGUGUAUUUACGCUCUAAUUUCGUUCUUGCGUGUUCAUACGAACCAAUUUUUGUGUCUUUAACGGACGAACAGGAGUUAAGGCUUCCUUGUAGAAAAUUAUGUUCAUUGAAUAACAGACAUUGGUGUCUACAUGAGUGGAUUAUUUUCUUACCUUUGGACGUACUGAAGCGUUUUAUAGUAUAUUUACACUCUAAUUUGUUUCGUUUUGCUCGUGUUCAUACAACCCAAUUUUGUUCGCGCGUGUUCAUCCAAA